UCAGAACCCUGCCCUGCUGGAGCUAAACCUGUGCAUUCAGAUGGAGAACUCUCAGGUCCAUCUCCAGCACCACAUCUGCCUGCCUGCCACCAAGCUUCCUGACAUGAUGUCAAUGGACUAAACCUCUGAAACGUCUCGCUGACAGGUAGCUUUCUGCAUCCUUCUGUCCUCCUUGGCACUGAGCCUUUCCCAGACCUUCAAGAGAUGUGAAGAGAAACUCUCUACUCUUUAUGUUGGCGCACUUCGAUCUCCUGUAACCACGUCGUGUAUGUCCACAGUAAUUAUUUUCAUGUAAAAAAAUGCAGAGAACUGUGGCCACCUCAGUUUUUUCUAAAUUCAUUUUCAUCGUAUGCUGAAAGUAUUAUUUUAUUCGUGGCAUGCCCAGUGAAAAUGCUCACGUGAAGAUAUAUAGAUGUGAAUAAACCCCCUGAUGCACACUGCCUUACAAAUACGAGCACUCUGAACUUUGAAAGUCCAUUAAGAUGAUCUCUUAGACCUAUCAAGUAUUUCAUAAAAUUUUAAAAUGCUAAUUC
rnacentral:lncRNA from 1 species